rnacentral:tRNA from 1 species
GUAGGUAUCUCAGUGGUAGAGUGCUUGCCUUGCAUGCAUGAGGCCCUGGGUUCCAUUCCUCAGCACUACA